rnacentral:rRNA from 1 species
CAGGCCUAACACAUGCAAGUCGAACGAAGCCUUCGGGCUUAGUGGCGGACGGGUGAGUAACGCGUGGGAACAUACCCAAAGGUACGGAAUAGCCUCGGGAAACUGGGAGUAAUACCGUAUGUGCCCUUUCACUGUAGUGGUGGGAGGGGAAAGAUUUAUCGCCUUUGGAUUGGCCCGCGUUGGAUUAGGUAGUUGGUGGGGUAAUGGCCUACCAAGCCGACGAUCCAUAGCUGGUUUGAGAGGAUGAUCAGCCACACUGGGACUGAGACACGGCCCAGACUCC